AGCGUACACGGUGGAUGCCCUGGCAGUCAGAGGCGAUGAAGGACGUGCUAAUCUGCGAUAAGCGUCGGUAAGGUGAUAUGAACCGUUAUAACCGGCGAUUUCCGAAUGGGGAAACCCAGUGUGUUUCGACACACUAUCAUUAACUGAAUCCAUAGGUUAAUGAGGCGAACCGGGGGAACUGAAACAUCUAAGUACCCCGAGGAAAAGAAAUCAACCGAGAUUCCCCCAGUAGCGGCGAGCGAACGGGGAGCAGCCCAGAGCCUGAAUCAGUGUGUGUGUUAGUGGAAGCGUCUGGAAAGGCGCGCGAUACAGGGUGACAGCCCCGUACACAAAAAUGCACAUAUUGUGAGCUCGAUGAGUAGGGCGGGACACGUGGUAUCCUGUCUGAAUAUGGGGGGACCAUCCUCCAAGGCUAAAUACUCCUGACUGACCGAUAGUGAACCAGUACCGUGAGGGAAAGGCGAAAAGAACCCCGGCGAGGGGAGUGAAAAAGAACCUGAAACCGUGUACGUACAAGCAGUGGGAGCACGCUUCGGCGUGUGACUGCGUACCUUUUGUAUAAUGGGUCAGCGACUUAUAUUCUGUAGCAAGGUUAACCGAAUAGGGGAGCCGAAGGGAAACCGAGUCUUAACUGGGCGUUAAGUUGCAGGGUAUAGACCCGAAACCCGGUGAUCUAGCCAUGGGCAGGUUGAAGGUUGGGUAACACUAACUGGAGGACCGAACCGACUAAUGUUGAAAAAUUAGCGGAUGACUUGUGGCUGGGGGUGAAAGGCCAAUCAAACCGGGAGAUAGCUGGUUCUCCCCGAAAGCUAUUUAGGUAGCGCCUCGUGAAUUCAUCUCCGGGGGUAGAGCACUGUUUCGGCAAGGGGGUCAUCCCGACUUACCAACCCGAUGCAAACUGCGAAUACCGGAGAAUGUUAUCACGGGAGACACACGGCGGGUGCUAACGUCCGUCGUGAAGAGGGAAACAACCCAGACCGCCAGCUAAGGUCCCAAAGUCAUGGUUAAGUGGGAAACGAUGUGGGAAGGCCCAGACAGCCAGGAUGUUGGCUUAGAAGCAGCCAUCAUUUAAAGAAAGCGUAAUAGCUCACUGGUCGAGUCGGCCUGCGCGGAAGAUGUAACGGGGCUAAACCAUGCACCGAAGCUGCGGCAGCGACGCUGAUGCGUUGUUGGGUAGGGGAGCGUUCUGUAAGCCUGCGAAGGUGUGCUGUGAGGCAUGCUGGAGGUAUCAGAAGUGCGAAUGCUGACAUAAGUAACGAUAAAGCGGGUGAAAAGCCCGCUCGCCGGAAGACCAAGGGUUCCUGUCCAACGUUAAUCGGGGCAGGGUGAGUCGACCCCUAAGGCGAGGCCGAAAGGCGUAGUCGAUGGGAAACAGGUUAAUAUUCCUGUACUUGGUGUUACUGCGAAGGGGGGACGGAGAAGGCUAUGUUGGCCGGGCGACGGUUGUCCCGGUUUAAGCGUGUAGGCUGGUUUUCCAGGCAAAUCCGGAAAAUCAAGGCUGAGGCGUGAUGACGAGGCACUACGGUGCUGAAGCAACAAAUGCCCUGCUUCCAGGAAAAGCCUCUAAGCAUCAGGUAACAUCAAAUCGUACCCCAAACCGACACAGGUGGUCAGGUAGAGAAUACCAAGGCGCUUGAGAGAACUCGGGUGAAGGAACUAGGCAAAAUGGUGCCGUAACUUCGGGAGAAGGCACGCUGAUAUGUAGGUGAAGUCCCUCGCGGAUGGAGCUGAAAUCAGUCGAAGAUACCAGCUGGCUGCAACUGUUUAUUAAAAACACAGCACUGUGCAAACACGAAAGUGGACGUAUACGGUGUGACGCCUGCCCGGUGCCGGAAGGUUAAUUGAUGGGGUCAGCGCAAGCGAAGCUCUUGAUCGAAGCCCCGGUAAACGGCGGCCGUAACUAUAACGGUCCUAAGGUAGCGAAAUUCCUUGUCGGGUAAGUUCCGACCUGCACGAAUGGCGUAAUGAUGGCCAGGCUGUCUCCACCCGAGACUCAGUGAAAUUGAACUCGCUGUGAAGAUGCAGUGUACCCGCGGCAAGACGGAAAGACCCCGUGAACCUUUACUAUAGCUUGACACUGAACAUUGAGCCUUGAUGUGUAGGAUAGGUGGGAGGCUUUGAAGUGUGGACGCCAGUCUGCAUGGAGCCGACCUUGAAAUACCACCCUUUAAUGUUUGAUGUUCUAACGUUGACCCCUAAUCGGGGUUGCGGACAGUGUCUGGUGGGUAGUUUGACUGGGGCGGUCUCCUCCUAAAGAGUAACGGAGGAGCACGAAGGUUGGCUAAUCCUGGUCGGACAUCAGGAGGUUAGUGCAAUGGCAUAAGCCAGCUUGACUGCGAGCGUGACGGCGCGAGCAGGUGCGAAAGCAGGUCAUAGUGAUCCGGUGGUUCUGAAUGGAAGGGCCAUCGCUCAACGGAUAAAAGGUACUCCGGGGAUAACAGGCUGAUACCGCCCAAGAGUUCAUAUCGACGGCGGUGUUUGGCACCUCGAUGUCGGCUCAUCACAUCCUGGGGCUGAAGUAGGUCCCAAGGGUAUGGCUGUUCGCCAUUUAAAGUGGUACGCGAGCUGGGUUUAGAACGUCGUGAGACAGUUCGGUCCCUAUCUGCCGUGGGCGCUGGAGAACUGAGGGGGGCUGCUCCUAGUACGAGAGGACCGGAGUGGACGCAUCACUGGUGUUCGGGUUGUCAUGCCAAUGGCACUGCCCGGUAGCUAAAUGCGGAAGAGAUAAGUGCUGAAAGCAUCUAAGCACGAAACUUGCCCCGAGAUGAGUUCUCCCUGACUCCUUGA
rnacentral:rRNA from 1 species